rnacentral:rRNA from 1 species
UACGUAGGGUGCAAGCGUUGUCCGGAAUUAUUGGGCGUAAAGAGCUCGUAGGCGGUUCGUCGCGUCGGCUGUGAAAUCCCGAGGCUCAACCUCGGGUCUGCAGUCGAUACGGGCGGACUGGAGUUCGGCAGGGGAGACUGGAAUUCCUGGUGUAGCGGUGAAAUGCGCAGAUAUCAGGAGGAACACCGGUGGCGAAGGCGGCUCUCUGGGACGGUACUGACGCUGAGACGCGAAAGCGUGGGGAUCAAACAGG